GCUAUUUAGGUUAGAGUUUGAUCCUGGCUCAGAACGAACGCUGGCGGCAUGCCUAACACAUGCAAGUCGAACGAGACCUUCGGGUCUAGUGGCGCACGGGUGCGUAACGCGUGGGAACCUGCCUUUAGGUUCGGGAUAACAGUUAGAAAUGACUGCUAAUACCGGAUGAUGUCUUCGGACCAAAGAUUUAUCGCCUUUAGAUGGGCCCGCGUUGGAUUAGCUAGUUGGUGGGGUAAAGGCCUACCAAGGCGACGAUCCAUAGCUGGUCUGAGAGGAUGAUCAGCCACACUGGGACUGAGACACGGCCCAGACUCCUACGGGAGGCAGCAGUGGGGAAUAUUGGACAAUGGGCGAAAGCCUGAUCCAGCAAUGCCGCGUGAGUGAUGAAGGCCUUAGGGUUGUAAAGCUCUUUUACCCGGGAUGAUAAUGACAGUACCGGGAGAAUAAGCUCCGGCUAACUCCGUGCCAGCAGCCGCGGUAAUGUCGGCC
rnacentral:rRNA from 1 species